GAGAGAGCUUCUAUCAAGCUUUCUUCUGGAAACUGGAUCUCUCUCUAGGCAAAACAUAUAUUGAUCUAUUAAGCUAGUGGCAAUAUGAAAAGUACUCUUUUCCCAGGCAAGUCUGUGUGCUACAUCGCUGAUCCAGCUCAUAACGAGUUGUCUCUGAUCAAGUUGUAGAAAGCAUCCUGAAGUUGUAUAGAUACUAUGGUGUACUUGAGCAAGCCUUUCCCUUCUAUAUAAGUCUUCCCAAUCCAUAAGGCUCAUUGUUAAUGACUCUUUUGGAAGUAUAUCUUGAAAUCUACCAGAAAUCAUCCAUCUUCUACAUGUUGAAAAUGACUUUGAGCCUCCCACAUUGUUGUUAUUAUUCAUAGAGCUAGAAUUCUGAGCAUUUAUUUGAGCCUUUUCUCCUGUUAUACCAAUAUUCUGGUUAACACCUCCAAUAUACUCAUUCUGACUAAAUGCAACCUUAUUAUCCAUCAUCUUUAUAUUAUUUGGAAUCCAGCUCUAUAGAUACCAGCUCUAUAGUGGUAAUUCAAAUAUCGACCAAGGCACUCUUUAAUUUCAUAAAAAAUCUGACUUAUAUAACACCCCUAGUUCCAAAUCCCUAC
rnacentral:antisense_RNA from 1 species